rnacentral:rRNA from 1 species
CGUGUAGGCGGUUUGUUAAGUCAUGUGUGAAAUCCCCCGGCUCAACCGAGGAACGACGCAUGAAACUGGCAAGCUAGAGUACCGAAGAGGGGGGUGGAAUUCCCGGUGUAGCGGUGAAAUGCGUAGAUAUCGGGAGGGAACACCUGUGGCGAAGGCGGCCCCCUGGUCGGGAUACUGACGCUGAGACGCGAAAGCGUGGGGAGCAACA